GAGUGAAAGACGGAGGAGAGCAGUGUGGGAGAGGAAUCGGAAAACACUCGAACGGCGGUGAAUGCGUCGGUGACCUGACCAGUGAAGAAUUCAGACACAGGAUGAAUGACCUUAAAAUCCAGAAGGACACAGAGGGGAAAGUGUAUGAAAUACCCUUCUUUGCUGAUUUCAUUGUACCUGUGGACAGGAGACAGACAGCCGGGGACGGACCCUGCGCAUACAGACCCCGGAAUUCCUGCUGCCAGCGCCACCGGCCCGGUGAGCAUGCCUCUGCAGGAGGAGUCCCUUGUGCUGGUGGCGGCAGCUGUGGGGCCCGUCCCUGCUGCUCUCUGUGCAAGCCUGGACACCUUCCGGUUCUAU